GCCAAGAUGGCCGAGUGGUUUAAGGCGCUGCAUUUAAGAUUUAUCUUCAUCUGCAGUAUCGAAAGAUGCUUGGGUUCGAACCCCAAUCUUGGCA